rnacentral:rRNA from 1 species
AGAGUUUGAUCAUGGCUCAGGAUGAACCCUAGCGGCAGGCUUAAUACAUGCAAGUCGAGGGGCAGCAUGGUGUAGCAAUACACUGAUGGCGACCGGCAAACGGGUGCGGAACACGUACAGAACCUUCCUUCGAGCGGGGAAUAGCCCAGAGAAAUUUGGAUUAAUACCCCAUAGUACAACGGAGUGGCAUCACUUUGUUGUUAAAGAUUUAUCACUUGAAGAUGGCUGUGCGGCUGAUUAGGUAGUUGGCGGGGUAACGGCCCACCAAGCCUGCGAUCAGUAACUGGUGUGAGAGCACGACCAGUCACACGGGCACUGAGACACGGGCCCGACUCCUACGGGAGGCAGCAGUAAGGAAUAUUGGUCAAUGGACGAAAGUCUGAACCAGCCAUGCCGCGUGGAGGAUGAAGGUCCUCUGGAUUGUAAACUUCUUUUAUAUGGGACGAAAAAAGAUCUUUCUAGGUCGUCUGACGGUACCAUAUGAAUAAGCACCGGCUAACUCCGUGCCAGCAGCCGCGGUAAUACGGAGGGUGCAAGCGUUAUCCGGAUUCACUGGGUUUAAAGGGUGCGUAGGUGGGUUGGUAAGUCAGUGGUGAAAUCUCCGAGCUUAACUUGGGAACUGCCAUUGAUACUAUCAGUCUUGAAUACUGUGGAGGUCAGGCGGAAUAUGUCAUGUAGCGGUGAAAUGCUUACAUAUGAC